CCUACGGGGUGCUGCAGUGGGGAAUAUUGCACAAUGGGGGAAACCCUGAUGCAGCGACGCCGCGUGAGUGAAGAAGUAUCCCGGUACGUAAAGCUCUAUCAGCAGGGAAGAAAAUGACGGUACCUGACUAAGAAGCCCCGGCAAACUACGUGCUAGCAGCCGCGGUUAUACGGAGGGGGCAAGCGUUAUCCGGAUUUACUGGGUGUAAAGGGAGCGUAGACGGCAGCACAAGUCUGGAGUGAAAUCCCGGGGCUUAACCCCGGAACUGCUUUGGAAACUGUGCGGCUGGAGUGCAGGAGGGGUAUGCGGAAUGCGUAGUGUAGCGGUGAAAUGCGUAGAUAUUAGGAAGAACACCGGUUGCGAAGGCAGCUUACUGGACUGUAACUGACGUUGAGGCUCGAAAGCGUGGGGAGCAAACAGGAUUAGAUACCCGAGUAGUC
rnacentral:rRNA from 1 species